GACGAACGCUGGCGGCGUGCUUAACACAUGCAAGUCGAACGGAAAGGUACUGAUUUUGCGGGGUUCUCGAGAGGCGAACGGGUGAGUAACACGCGAGUAUACUGUACCUGACUUUGGGAGAAAAUCACGAAACUGGGGAGCAUAUCCGAUAGAACAUCUUGCUGCACGGUGGUCGUAGGAAAGAUAUGGCGGUGGGGGCUGGAAUAGCGGCUAAUCAGCUUGUUGGUGGGGUAGGGGCUUAACACGGCUUCGACGGGUAGCCGGCGUUAGCGGGUGACCGGCGCCAAGGGGACUGAGGUAGGGCACAGACUCCUACGGCGAGCAGCAGGGGGAAAUAUUGCAGAGUGGGCCGGAGCCUGAUGCAGCAACGCCGCGUGCGGAAUGACGGCCUACGGGUUAAAAACCUCUUUCUCCUGUGACGAAGCGUGAGUGACGGUAAUUGGUAAAAAAGCACCGGCUAACUACGUG
rnacentral:rRNA from 1 species